CAGGCCUAACACAUGCAAGUCGAGCGGACUUAUCCUUCGGGAUAGGUUAGCGGCGGACGGGUGAGUAACACGUAGGCAACCUGCCUGUAAGAUCGGGAUAACUACCGGAAACGGUAGCUAAGACCGGAUAGCUGGUUUCUCCGCAUGGGGGAAUCAUGAAACACGGGGCAACCUGUGGCUUACGGAUGGGCCUGCGGCGCAUUAGCUAGUUGGUGGGGUAACGGCCCACCAAGGCGACGAUGCGUAGCCGACCUGAGAGGGUGAUCGGCCACACUGGGACUGAGGCACGGCCCAGACUCCUACGGGAGGCAGCAGUAGGGAAUCUUCCGCAAUGGGCGCAAGCCUGACGGAGCAACGCCGCGUGAGUGAUGAAGGUUUUCGGAUCGUAAAGCUCUGUUGCCAAGGAAGAACGCCUCGGAGAGUAACUGCUCUGAGGGUGACGGUACUUGAGAAGAAAGCCCCGGCUAACUACGUGCCAGCAGCCGCGGUAAUACGUAGGGGGCAAGCGUUGUCCGGAAUUAUUGGGCGUAAAGCGCGCGCAGGCGGUCUUUUAAGUUUGGUGUUUAAGCCCGGGGCUCAACCCCGGUUCGCACUGGAAACUGGGAGACUUGAGUGCAGGAGAGGAAAGCGGAAUUCCACGUGUAGCGGUGAAAUGCGUAGAGAUGUGGAGGAACACCAGUGGCGAAGGCGGCUUUCUGGACUGUAACUGACGCUGAGGCGCGAAAGCGUGGGGAGCAAACAGGAUUAGAU
rnacentral:rRNA from 1 species